UAGAAUCAAAAGGAUGCAACAUCAGAGCGAAAAUGGCGAUCCACCAAAUCUUUCCCGCACAUUCAAGUAUCUUAUGCAACGCAGUUCUUGGCGAGGGGAAUACCUUUUAUCUUCAAUACGUGGAUACUGAGACAUCUUUCAGCUUAUGACUAUGCUAAGAGGAGAUCAUCCUCAAGACAUAGAUGGUUAAGGGAUAAUGAGGCACAUCUGAAAUGAAACUUGAACCGCAUUAUCGUUCAACUAGUGUUCAUGAAUCAAGCAGCUAAUGGCCCAUCCUCCUCCAAGUCUCCAAUAUUGGUUCUCCCUUCCUCCGGCAAGACGGCAAUUACCGUAAUAGGUUAGUUUUCUUAAAUUUUUUUAGACUGAAUUAUUUGUUUUUUUAACUUCAAA